rnacentral:rRNA from 1 species
UACGGGGGGGAGCAAGCGUUGUUCGGAUUUAUUGGGCGUAAAGAGCGUGUAGGCGGCCAGACAGGUCCGUUGUGAAAACUCGAGGCUCAACCUCGAGAUGUCGAUGGAAACCGUCUGGCUAGAGUCCGGAAGAGGAGAGUGGAAUUCCUGGUGUAGCGGUGAAAUGCGCAGAUAUCAGGAAGAACACCCGUGGCGAAGGCGGCUCUCUGGGACGGUACUGACGCUGAGACGCGAAAGCGUGGGGAGCGAACAGG